rnacentral:rRNA from 1 species
GGGGGGGGGCUUAACAUGCAAGUCGACGAUGAAGCCCUUUCGGGGGUGGAUUAGUGGCGAACGGGUGAGUAACACGUGAGCAACCUGCCCUUGACUCUGGGAUAAGCCGGGGAAACUGGGUCUAAUACCGGAUAGGACUCCUCAUCGCAUGGUGGGGGGUGGAAAGCCUUGUGCGGUCUUGGAUGGGCUCGCGGCCUAUCGGCUUGUUGGUGGGGUGAUGGCCUACCAAGGCGACGACGGGUAGCCGGCCUGAGAGGGUGACCGGCCACACUGGGACUGAGACACGGCCCAGACUCCUACGGGAGGCAGCAGUGGGGAAUAUUGCACAAUGGGCGGAAGCCUGAUGCAGCGACGCCGCGUGGGGGAUGACGGCCUUCGGGUUGUAAACCCCUUUCAGCAGGGAAGAAGCGGAAGUGACGGUACCUGCAGAAGAAGCGCCGGCUAACUACGUGCCAGCAGCCGCGGUAAUACGUAGGGCGCGAGCGUUAUCCGGAAUUAUUGGGCGUAAGAGCUCGUAGGCGGCUUGUCGCGUCUGCUGUGAAAGCCCGGGGCUCAACCCCGGGUCUGCAGUGGGUACGGGCAGGCUGGAGUGCAGUAGGGGAGACUGGAAUUCCUGGUGUAGCGGUGAAAUGCGCAGAUAUCAGGAGGAACACCGAUGGCGAAGGCAGGUCUCUGGGCUGUAACUGACGCUGAGGAGCGAAAGCAUGGGGAGCGAACAGGAUUAGAUACCCUGGUAGUCCAUGCCGUAAACGUUGGGCACUAGGUGUGGGGGUCAUUCCACGGUUUCCGCGCCGCAGCUAACGCAUUAAGUGCCCCGCCUGGGGAGUACGGCCGCAAGGCUAAAACUCAAAGGAAUUGACGGGGGCCCGCACAAGCGGCGGAGCAUGCGGAUUAAUUCGAUGCAACGCGAAGAACCUUACCAAGGCUUGACAUGUGCCGGACCGUCCCAGAGAUGGGGCUUCCCUUCGGGGCCGGUUCACAGGUGGUGCAUGGUUGUCGUCAGCUCGUGUCGUGAGAUGUUGGGUUAAGUCCCGCAACGAGCGCAACCCUCGUUCCAUGUUGCCAGCACUUCGGGUGGGGACUCAUGGGAGACUGCCGGGGUCAACUCGGAGGAAGGUGGGGACGACGUCAA